GCGGCGGUAGUGUGACAAUUAAAUUAUCUUGUCUUGCAGAUGGGAUCCAUAGAGGAGAAGACAGGCCUUGAACUUGAAGAGGAGAUCCCGUUUCUUGCAUCACAAUCCUCGAGAAAGAUCCAUGCCUUUGAAACAUCUCAGGCUUUAGCAGAUGUCUCUCACACUUGGAUCCCUAAGCGUUUACCUUAUAAAGUUGCAUUCAAGAGUAAUAAUGCCGUCUUGAUCAAAGCCAAGAUUAAUAUGUUGUUAUCUUUUGGUC